UACGAAGGGGGCUAGCGUUGUUCGGAAUCACUGGGCGUAAAAGCGCCACGUAGGCGGAUCUUUAAGUCAGGGGUGAAAUCCCGAGGCUCAACCUCGGAACUGCCUUUGAUACUGGGGAUCUCGAGUCCGGGAGAGGUGAGUGGAACUGCGAGUGUAGAGGUGAAAUUCGUAGAUAUUCGCAAGAACACCAGUGGCGAAGGCGGCUCACUGGCC
rnacentral:rRNA from 1 species